GGAGCUGAACUCAGCAGAAAGGUGGAGUGUGUAGGUGGUAAUUACACACACUGAGCUAAAAUAACAUGAAGUUUUAUUUAAAGUGGCU